rnacentral:tRNA from 1 species
AAAAAGAUAAGCUAAAUAAGCUAAUGGGUUCAUACCCCAUCUAUAAAGGUUUAAUCCUUUUCUUUUUA